AUACGGAGGACGCGAGCGUUAUCCGGAUUCAUUGGGUUUAAAGGGAGCGUAGGCGGGAGCUUAAGUCAGCGGUUAAAUGGUGCGGCUCAACCGUGCCCUGCCGUUGAAACUGGGUUUCUUGAGAGUGCAAGAGGCGGAUGGAAUUCAUGGGGUAGCGGGGAAAUGCUUAGAUAUCAUGAAGAACUCCGAUUGCGAAGGCAGUCCGCUGGGGCACGUCUGACGCUGAUGCUCGAAGGUGCGGGAAUCAAACAGGAUUAGAUACCCUGGUAGUCCGCACGGUAAACGAUGAUUACCCGCUGUCGGCGGCAGACAGUCGGCGGCCAAGCGAAAGCGAUAAGUAAUCCACCUGGGGAGUACGCCGGCAACGGUGAAACUCAAAUGAAUGGACGGGG
rnacentral:rRNA from 1 species